rnacentral:rRNA from 1 species
AUACGGAAGGUCCGGGCGUUAUCCGGAUUUAUUGGGUUUAAAGGGAGCGCAGGCGGAGAUGCAAGCGUGACGUCAAAUUUCGGGGCUCAACCCCGUCUCGCGUCGCGAACUGCGUCCCUUGGUUGCGGGAAGGGGAGGCGGAACUCGUGGUGUAGCGGUGAAAUGCAUAGAGAUCACGAAGAACUCCGAUCGCAAAGGCAGCCUUCCGGCCCGUCAACGACGCUCAUGCUCGAAGGUGCGGGUAUCAAACAGGAUUAGAUACCCUGGUAGUCCGCACAGUAAACGAUGGACACCCGCGGUUUGGCCUAUAUGGCUGAGCCGCCAAGCGAAAGCGUUAAGUGUCCCACCUGGGGAGUACGCCGGCAACGGUGAAACUCAAAGGAAUUGACGGGG